rnacentral:tRNA from 1 species
GGGCCCAUAGCUCAAAGGUUAGAGCACCCGGCUCAUAACCGGCGGGUUCCAGGUUCGAGUCCUGGUGGGCCCACCA